AAAUAGUAACCCGUCGACUUCUUGGAACUCUUUUAUAUUACGAGUUUCAUGUCUGCGCCCGUUGGGAAUUCUUUACUCAAGGGAUGGAAGGAGAAUGGAGAUUUGGGGUUGAGUUUAGCCAGCUGUUACUCAGUGACAGCCUAGGAAUCGUCGAAUAAAUCCACCUCCACACAACCGUGUUAGAAUGGUGUGCAGAGUAUAUCUCUCUCUGGGUGGAAAGAGAUUGAUAGCGAAAUCAACCCAUGAUCUCAGUGGAGAAGACGGCGGACAAUUUAGGGUUUUACAGAAGGCGAAAGUGGCAGCGCCGUAAAGUACCAGGGCAGUAGAAGAUGACAUUGUCCAGGGCAACCAGACUAGACGAAGUAGCAGGAAAUGAGGCAUUGAAUCUGCAGAAUCAUCUGAAUCGUCUUCCGACUAGUCAAGGAAUUCAAUUGUUUUUUAUUAAAAUAAAUAGGGAAGCAUCCCAACCCUUUAAAGGUAAAAAAAAACCAUGUAAACAAUGUGCGCCCAACAAGACAAACUGAGUUUUUUUGUUUGCCCCGAGGGAUUAAGGGAAUUCAAUUGUUGAGAACAAUACAGUCCGUCUUUUGUAUUUAUGCUGACCACUCAGUUUUGGGGAGUGAUUUUUUAAUUGAUGAUAAUUUAAUAGAGCUCUGUGUUUUUGCUGUUCAGUAUAGUG